rnacentral:sRNA from 1 species
CACUAGCCCUGAUGGAAGCGGCAUCCUUUUUCUGGCUUCUUUAGACAGAAAAAGAUAUAGCGGACAGCAGGUUCCAGC